rnacentral:rRNA from 1 species
GCCGGCAACUAGCUCUCUGCAACUCAAAAUGGUCGCCCACUGAAGCUAAGCAGGGCUGAGCCUGGUCAGCAGUACCUGGAUGGGAGACCACAUGGGAAAGCUAGGUUGCUGCCAGAA